GGAGAGGUGGCCGAGUGGCCGAAGGCGCAAGAUUGGAAAUCUUGUGUACUCGUAAGGGUACCGUGGGUUCGACUCCCACCCUCUCCG
rnacentral:tRNA from 1 species